UUUGGUAGUUAACCAGUCAUAAGUUAUCCGCAAACGCACCAAUUUUUAACCGCAAUACCAGUCGUACAAAUCUCUUAAAACCGCUAGAAACCGCAACCGCCCGCAUCCACAAACUCCCGCAACCGCAACCGUUGCGUUUAAACUAGUCAGGCCCUAAAUUAACUAAAAAUUAGAAUCUUAAAUCUUAAUAAAGUAUGCAUUCUAGCUCCCCUUAUAUUUAACACGUCCAGUAUCUGGAUUACCAAAAAAUUAUCAUCCACUAUACGUGCGUUAUGCAUGUGUUCGUAUUUAUGAAAAUAAGAUAAAAAUCAAAUCUAUUAUUAAAUUCUAAUAGUUUUUUAUUCAAUAAUUUUUUAAAAAAAAUUAUGGCGCCGUUUUUUCUUUACUUGUUGACGCGGCAAAUAUCUCAGACCUCUAGAAACCAACAAAUUAUGCGAGCAAUAAUAUGACUACUUAUAAAUUCGAUCAUAGCAUAUAAUUUAUUUCGAUCAGUUACAUCACGUGUUAUGCAUUAUCUGUCUGGUCAACGUAGUAACGUAGUGGAAAAAUGAAAAGCUAUGCCGCGUCUAGUUGUCAAUAUAUAAAG
rnacentral:lncRNA from 1 species